GUAUUCACAUAUAAUGUAUAUAUGUGUGGGCGCUCGGGUGGCAAAAGUGAAAGUGCACUAAUUUUAACGUUAUUUUACUAAUUUCGUAAAAACAACGUUAAAAGAGAGGGAUGGUUAAUCAUGCAUCAUGUGGUGGCGUUGAUAGCUGAAAGACAAUGGGGUACAUGCACUAAUCGGCAGUCGUCUCAAUUGCUGAGUGUUAUGUGCCUUAUGUCCAAGGUUUGAUGCAAAACUACUAUCGAGCCGGGGGUCUCAUAGAAAGCAGCCUCUCUAUUCCUACAGGGUAGAGGUUUGAGGCUCACUCUCAACCAUGAAUGCAAAGGAAUUGAAUCUUCAAGCGGAAGAGCCGGAGUUGAUACGCGCUUGAAGGAAAAGAACUAAAGGUACAUAACUUUCGGUUUCGUUACAUUAUGCAUAAAUAAUAGUAUUAGAAAUAUUAACGGGAUUGUAAUGUAAAAUGCGAGUUUGGUAAGCCAAUGAAGUGACGAAGUUCACUCGACAAACCAAACGGGACAAAAUAAACGGUUAAAGCAUGUUUGGAACGUCAAUGAAGUGAUGUAACCAACUCGACAACCAAACGGGUCAAAAUAGUUAAUUAGAUAUGUUCGUUGAGAAUAUUGUUUAAUUUGUCGUGUUUGGGAUGUCAAUGAAGUGAUGUAACUCACUUGACAACCAAACGGGUCAAAAUAGUUAAUUAGAUAUGUUCGUGGAGAAUAUUGUUUAAUUUGUCAUGUUUGGGAUGUCAAUAAAGUGAUGUAACUCACUCGACAACCAAACGGGUCAAAAUAGUUAAUUAGACUUGUUUGUUGAGAAUAUUGUUUAAUUAGUCGUGUUUGGGAUUGCAAUGAAGUGAUGUAACUCACUCGACAACCAAACGGGUCAAAAAAAAUAGUUAAUUAGAUUUGUUUGUUGAUAAUAUUGUAAAAAAUUAGUCAUGUAUGGAAUGAAAAUAAAGUGAUGUAACUCACUAGAUAAAGAAACGGGCUACAAAUUUGGUUAAAUAAGAUGGUAUGUUGAUAAAAUGAUGAAUUAUGCAAGUAUAUAACUUGUUUCGCUACAUUAUGUUAACUCGAUAUUGUAGACAUUCAAAGAUAUGCUUAGAAUAAGGAUCUGCAUUAGUUGAAGUGACGAUGAUCACUACAUAAUUGAACGAGUCGAAACUAGAAUAGAAAAUGUUGGUUGAUGUUGAAAUGCUGGAUUCCAUAAAUCAGCCAAACGGGUCAAAGGAAUGCGUGUGGUUUGAUAUCAAAAAAUGUUAAAAGAUCCCUUGGCGUUUGUAGAUCGUAAGAGCGUUAACCAUGGAAUUGGUAAUGAUACGCCAGUGAUUGUAAGCCCCGGAAGGUGGGUAAAUACGCCUUGUGGUCAUAAAAAUUGUUAGUGGUUGAAUUAGUGCAAAACUAUACGGUCAAAUAAAUACAUUAGGCAUUUAUAGACUUCCAGCCUGUAAACUCAAUUUUUGACACGACGAUCAUGAUAGACACGUUGGUAAUUUAAUUAUGGACACAUAGGAAAAAGAAUCAUCUAAAACGGACAUGUGGAUAAAAAGUUAUGAAGGUUUAAAUUUAGUAUUUUGUUAAAUUUUAGAGCUGGGAAGAUGCAGCAACAAGAACUCAACCUUUCUGCCGAAAACAGGUGUUCGCGUCGCGCGACACCAACUCAUGGACAUCGUCGCGCAACGCGACGUUGGUCGUGGGCCGCGUAAGCUAUGGUGGGAUUUGUCGUGGGGCGCGACAGACCCUAAACUCAGUAUUCUUGUUUUCUUUUCAUGGUUUGGCAGUAGAACUUGAUUAUACAUAUUUUAACGUUGUCAAAACUAACAAUUUACGUGGUUUUGACAUUAGGUGAUGUUGGACUCAAAUCGGAUGGCGAUCAAGCUGGAAAUCAAGAACCAAACACGUCGUUUAAAAGCUUCCGCGUUUAUUAAACCUUGUUGUAGACAAUGUUUCUUUUGUAAACACUUAACUUGAUGUCUCUCAUGUUUAAACUAGUUAGUAGUUAACUAAGGUACUAUCAUUAUGAAACUUCAUCGUCUUGAAAUUUUUUUGAAACUAUGUAUUUCUUUUGAGAAUACGUAUUUUAUGUUAAAAUAUUAAUUAAAUGAGACGGGUGU
rnacentral:lncRNA from 1 species